rnacentral:rRNA from 1 species
AGUCGGAAUUGCUAGUAAUCGCAGAUCAGCAUGCUGCGGUGAAUACGUUCCCGGGCCUUGUACACACCGCCCGUCACACCAUGGGAGUCGGUAACACCCGAAGCCUGUAGUCUAACCGCAAGGAGGACGCAGUCGAAGGUGGGAUUGAUGACUGGGGUGAAGUCGUAACAAGGUAUC